rnacentral:sRNA from 1 species
CAAUAGGAGGACAAGAUGUCUGCGACAUCUGUUACUUCACUGAUCACCACAGUUUAUUGAGCUGACUUGGUUAGUCAACAGAUGUAUUCUUGUCUCUCACAGCUUCAUGUCUAUGUUCCUAACCUUGGGGAUAAAAGGAAAAAUGUUCUUUCUGGACAGCGUGAAUCAUUCUGAGAUCAAGGAUACAGUGUCUAUGAUAAAGGUAACCACAAAUUCUUGGCUACUUCUCUCAUUGAAAGGUAGAAUCUA